GACGAACGCUGGCGGCGUGCUUAACACAUGCAAGUCGAACGGAAAGGCCCUGCUUUUGUGGGGUGCUCGAGUGGCGAACGGGUGAGUAACACGUGAGUAACCUGCCCUUGACUUUGGGAUAACUUCAGGAAACUGGGGCUAAUACCGGAUAGGAGCUCCUGCUGCAUGGUGGGGGUUGGAAAGUUUCGGCGGUUGGGGAUGGACUCGCGGCUGAUCAGCUUGUUGGUGGGGUAGUGGCUUACCAAGGCUUUGACGGGUAGCCGGCCUGAGAGGGUGACCGGGGAGGAGGGGACUGCGGUGGGGGGCAGCAGGGGGGGGGAGGGAACAGUGGGCGGAAGGCGGAUGCGGCGGGGGGGCGGGAGGGAUGGAGGCCUGCGGGUGGUGAAGGUCUUUGGGUGGUGAAGAAGGUCCUGCUGUGGGGGGGGGGGUGGGCGGUAGCCGGGUAAUGAAGCGCCGGCUAACUACGUG
rnacentral:rRNA from 1 species